rnacentral:lncRNA from 1 species
UGUUCCUAGUACUACCUCCAUGAUCCCACACUCCUAAUCAUAUGAGCUAAAAUGUUACAUAUUCAAUCUUUGAGAGAUAUAAAGAAAAAGACAUAUACAUAGAUAGAUUAUCUUUCCAUAAGGUUGAGCGAUCUGAUCUGACAAAUGUUAUAAGUGCUACACUCAUGAACUUAUCAUCCAUCAACUUUGUCUUGCUCACUAUGCUUAAGGUUAGAGAAGAACAAAUACACUUUUGGUUCUGUUGGUGUUUUCCACCAACAGGACCCAUGCGCUUGAUCUCUGCCUUUUCUCUAUGAGCAGGUACACUUUGAGCAAAACAUGGAGGAGUUUUAUAACUCUCAGACUCUACCAAGUGAAGGACCUGGAUCUACGAGCACAAACACACUGAGCAGGAUGCUGCCAACGCCGCACUUCGAACUGCUGGGCAAACGAAGAACAUGGGUGACACCGUGUCAAGAGGUGCAGACGUCAAGGUCCGCACCUGAAUCAAAUGACGCACCUGAAGAAUGAACACGAUGAGAAGUCUUGUUGAGAAGACUUAAAACAUUGAACCCUCGCCGAAAGGUAAAAUCGGUAGUUAUCCAUAUUUAUCCUUUCUGCAUUCCCUUUUCCUUAAAUUACUUACUUUCCUUAAAUAGCUUAUUAGUUAAUCAUGCUAUCUUGAAAAGAAAUUAAAAAUGUUUAAAAAUAGUAAGCCCCAUGUGAGUAUGCUCGUGCCUUAAAACCCAUAAGUACAUUCACUGUGGUGGCGUAAAAAUAAAAUAAAUAUAUUCCUGUUCUAUAGAAAUGAAAAUAAAAAAAUAAAUUUAUGAUCCUACCAAAGAAAGUAAUAUUUAUUAGAGGAAGCUCAACAUGAUAAAGGCAAAGAGAUUUUAUGCUAACACUUAACCAGUUCCACAAAGCUUUGUUGUCUAUUUGAGCUCCACAAAAUUCAAGGAUCAAAGAAGACUAGCAGACGGAGGACAUCCUAAUCGCUGUCAGGGUGCUGCCGACAUUCAAAUACACCUCCGUCACCUGCUAGCUACAUCAGAAGAAAUUACGUCAAAAUCCAGCUUGGGGGAGAGCACCCCCAUUUAUCCAGCUAAGUGUUUCUACUCAUGUUUAUACUUUACUCAAAUAAUAAAAAGAUGCAUAAUCAUAAAAACCCAAAUAAAGAUUUUAUACUUAUAUAUAUAUAUAUCUAUGCUUAGUUUGCUAAAUAAAUAAAUAAAUAAAGUUUGCUAUGAACCAUCAUGAUAAGCUCUCAC